rnacentral:rRNA from 1 species
AACGAACGCUGGCGGCAUGCCUAACACAUGCAAGUCGAACGGGAUCCUGGCUUCGGUCAGGUGAGAGUGGCGGACGGGUGAGUAACGCGUGGGAACCUGCCCAGUGGUGGGGGAUAACUGCGGGAAACUGCAGCUAAUACCGCAUGAGCCCGAGAGGGGAAAGAUUUAUCGCCAUUGGAGGGGCCCGCGUUCGAUUAGGUAGUUGGUGAGGUAACGGCUCACCAAGCCGACGAUCGAUAGCUGGUCUGAGAGGAUGAUCAGCCACACUGGGACAGAGAUACGGCCGAGACUCCUACGGGAGGCAGCAGUGGGGAAGAUUGGACACUGAGGGCAGCCCUGAUCCAGCCAUGCCGCGUGCGGGAAGAAGGCCUUCGGGUUGUAAACCGCUUUUGUCAGGGAAGAAACGGUCCAAUCUAAUAAAUUGGACUAAUGACGGUACCUGAAGAAUAAGCACCGGCUAACUACGUGCCAGCCGCCGCCGUAA